rnacentral:tRNA from 1 species
GGGCCCAUAGCUCAAUGGAAGAGCGGCUCCCUUUUAAGGAGAAGGUUGGAGGUUCGAGCCCUCCUGGGCUCACCG